rnacentral:rRNA from 1 species
GUAGGUGGCAAGCGUUGUCCGGAAUUAUUGGGGCGUAAAGCGCGCGCAGGCGGUUCUUUAAGUCUGAUGUGAAAGCCCACGGGCUCAACCGUGGAGGGUCAUUGGAAACUGGAGAACUUGAGUACAGAAGAGGAAAGCGGAAUUCCACGCGUAGCGGUGAAAUGCGUAGAGAUGUGGAGGAACACCAGUGGCGAAGGCGGCUUUCUGGUCUGUAACUGACGCUGAGGCGCGAAAGCGUGGGGAGCAAACAGGAUUAGAUACCCUGGUAGUCCACGCCGUAAACGAUGAGUGCUAAGUGUUAGGGGGUUUCCGCCCCUUAGUGCUGCAGCUAACGCAUUAAGCAUUCCGCCUGGGGAGUACGGCCGCAAAGGCUG